GUGGUACUCCCUCCGUUUGGAAUUACUUGUCGCAGAAAUGGAUGUAUCUAGAUGUAUUUUAGUUCUAGAUACAUCCAUAUCCGAGAUAAGUAAUUCCGAACGGAGGGAGUACAAG
rnacentral:pre_miRNA from 1 species